GACAGAGGGUGCGAGCGUUGCUCGGAAUCACUGGGCGUAAAGGGCGCGUAGGCGGCCAUUCAAGUCGGGGGUGAAAUCCCUCAGCUUAACUGAGGAAGUGCGCCCGAAACUGCAGAGCUUGAGUGCCGGAGAGGGUGGCGGAAUUCCCCAAGUAGAGGUGAAAUUCGUAGAUAUGGGGAGGAACACCGGUGGCGAAGGCGGGUCUCUGGGCAAUUCCUGACGCUGAGGCGCGAAAGCGUGGGGAGCAAACGGG
rnacentral:rRNA from 1 species